rnacentral:tmRNA from 2 species
CCCCUUGCAAUUCACCCAUGGCAGCCCUACUUUAAUCCUGUCCUUCGGGACUAUGGACAUAAACGCGCUCGUAAUAAGCGGUUCGGACCCGGGGGCGGUACCCGGCGGCUCCACCAAACAUCCUUCAUUUGGGGAUCAUGGGGCCGAAAUAGGAUCGACGAACGUCUAAAGGGGUUGCUUUGUCUCGGUGAGAUACCACCGUUAUCGGUUCAAACUGUACAAUUGCAAAUGACAAUCGUGCUCCAGUUGCGAUGGCCGCGUAAGCGGUUUCAGCGACUGAAAUCUUAAGUCCUUAGGCCUUGCAGCUUAAGGCGGGGUUCGCAGGUACCUGGCAACAGAAACCUGCACU